UCGAGAAGUUCAUGCCAAAAGUUGCAGCACCUGAUGGAAACAUCAGGAGGAAAAACCGGGUGAACUCAGGGAAACCUUAGUCCGCUGACGCGGAGAUGGUAAUCCUGAGCCAAGCUUGUUCACACAGGUAAUAUGAAAAGUGAACAGGAAGGUGCAGAGACUACGGGAUGAGGCGGCCUGUGCCAAUAAGUCCCGACAAGCGCCCGGCACCUAAGCACUGAGCAAAGGUGAAGUGUAUGGUGAUAAGAUAGUCCGGUCUUUAGGGAAACCUGAAG
rnacentral:ncRNA from 1 species